AUAAAGGUCUGAAUAGGAAGAUAUAAAGGUCUGAAUAGGAAGAUAUAAAGGUCUGAAUAUGAAGAUAUAAAGGUCUGAAUAGGAAGAUAUAAAGGUCUGAAUAGGAAGAUAUAAAGGUCUGAAUAUGAAGAUAUAAAGGUCUGAAUAGGAAGAUAUAAAGGUCUGAAUAGGAAGAUAUAAAGGUCUGAAUAGGAAGAUAUAAAGGUCUGAAUAGGAAGAUAUAAAGGUCUGAAUAUGAAGAUAUAAAGGUCUGAGUAGGAAGAUAUAAAGGUCUGAAUAGGAAGAUAUAAAGGUCUGAAUAUGAAGAUAUAAAGGUCUGAGUAGGAAGAUAUAAAGGUCUGAAUAGGAAGAUAUAAAGGUCUGAAUAUGAAGAUAUAAAGGUCUGAGUAGGAAGAU